GCAUAAGAGUGAAAGGCGCUUUCGGGUGUCGCUGAUGGAUGGACCCGCGGUGCAUUAGCUAGUUGGUGAGGUAACGGCUCACCAAGGCCACGAUGCAUAGCCGACCUGAGAGGGUGAUCGGCCACACUGGGACUGAGACACGGCCCAGACUCCUACGGGAGGCAGCAGUAGGGAAUCUUCGGCAAUGGACGAAAGUCUGACCGAGCAACGCCGCGUGAGUGAAGAAGGUUUUCGGAUCGUAAAACUCUGUUGUUAGAGAAGAACAAGGACGUUAGUAACUGAACGUCCCCUGACGGUAUCUAACCAGAAAGCCACGGCUAACUACGUGCCAGCAGCCGCGGUAAUACGUAGGUGGCAAGCGUUGUCCGGAUUUAUUGGGCGUAAAGCGAGCGCAGGCGGUUUCUUAAGUCUGAUGUGAAAGCCCCCGGCUCAACCGGGGAGGGUCAUUGGAA
rnacentral:rRNA from 1 species